rnacentral:lncRNA from 1 species
GCAUGCUAAGGCUUUACUGAGGAGAGGGGUUGAGUUCCAGGAAAGUAAGAGUGAGGAGAAAAGGGAGUUCUCAGCAUCAAAGUGAGCAAGUCAUCAGGAGCUCCUCAUGUGGUGAGUUCUCCUGGAUGCAGAUUCUGCAAGAGGAUGGACCACCUUCAGGGAGCUGACUGUCCCAAACCCAAAGCAAUGAAGCCCAGGAGCCGCCAGCUCUUUGCAGAGGAGGGUUCCUGACACCUUGGAAAUGAAGAAGGAGAAACAUCUGGCAGCAAAUGGCUGAACAAAAUGCCACUGGACUGGAAAGGAGAUCCUCAGACUCAUGGUUGUGUCACCCCAGUGCCCAGCAUGCGGCCUGCACGUGAUUGGUCCUCGGUUCUGUAGUUGAUUGAGGCCAGGUUGUUAUUGGACGUAUCUGAGAUAUUUUACUCAGUGCCUUUUUUGUUAUUGUUUUAAUUAUGAAAGUCCUAAAUGCUCUGACAACAAAUUCAGACGGACAGAGGGGUAAAGCAAAAACCGUCCCCAUCCAUCCCUGCUCUUUUUUUUUUGAGGAAGAUUAGCCCUGAGCUAACAUCUGCUGCCAAUCCUCCUCUUUUUGCUGAGGAAGACUGGCCCUGAGCUCAGAUCCAUGCCCAUCUUCCUCUACUUUAUAUGUGGGAUGCCUACCACAGCAUGGCUUGCCAAGCGGUGCUGUAUCUGCACCCGGGAUCGAACUGGCAAACCCUAGGCUGCUAAAGCGGAACGUGUGAACUUAACCACUGCACCACCAGGCUGGCCCCCAUCCUUGCUCUUACUAACCAGGGUCAGUAACUCCCUAUAACUCAAUAAUUUCUUGUAAUUCCAUCUAGAAAUUUCUUAGCAAAUGUAAGCAUAAUAGACACACACACAGAGUUGGUCAUACUACACAU